rnacentral:rRNA from 1 species
GACGAACGCUGGCGGCGUGCUUAACACAUGCAAGUCGAACGGAAAGGCCCUGCUUUUGUGGGGUGCUCGAGUGGCGAACGGGUGAGUAACACGUGAGUAACCUGCCCUUGACUUUGGGAUAACUUCAGGAAACUGGGGCUAAUACCGGAUAGGAGCUCCUGCUGCAUGGUGGGGGUUGGAAAGUUUCGGCGGUUGGGGAUGGACUCGCGGCUUAUCAGCUUGUUGGUGGGGUAGUGGCUUACCAAGGCUUUGACGGGUAGCCGGCCUGAGAGGGUGACCGGCCACAUUGGGACUGAGAUACGGCCCAGACUCCUACGGGAGGCAGCAGUGGGGAAUAAUGCACAAUGGGCGGAAGCCUGAUGCAGCAACGCCGCGUGCGGGAUGACGGCCUUCGGGUUGUAAACCGCUUUCGCCUGUGGCGAAGCGUGAGUGACGGUAAUGGGUAAAGAAGCACCGGCUAACUACGUG